rnacentral:rRNA from 1 species
GAUGAACGCUGGCGGCGUGCUUAACACAUGCAAGUCGAACGGGAAACAUUUCAUUGAGGCUUCGGCGGAUUUGAUCUGUUUCUAGUGGCGGACGGGUGAGUAACGCGUGGGUAACCUGCCUUAUACUGGGGGAUAACAGCCAGAAAUGACUGCUAAUACCGCAUAAGCGCACAGGACCGCAUGGUUCCGUGUGAAAAACUCCGGUGGUAUAAGAUGGACCCGCGUUGGAUUAGCUAGUUGGCAGGGCAGCGGCCUACCAAGGCAACGAUCCAUAGCCGGCCUGAGAGGGUGAACGGCCACAUUGGGACUGAGACACGGCCCAGACUCCUACGGGAGGCAGCAGUGGGGAAUAUUGCACAAUGGGGGAAACCCUGAUGCAGCGACGCCGCGUGAAGGAAGAAGUAUCUCGGUAUGUAAACUUCUAUCAGCAGGGAAGAUAAUGACG